UAACAAUACUUCUAAUCACUAUCAUUAUUUCCAGAUUACACCUACUGAUCAUAUUUGCCAUGCAUGCUGGCAACUUGCGUAUCAUGCAUCUACUGAAAAUAUGUCCAGCAGCAGCAGCGGUUGGCCAUCAUAAUAUCUGUGUUGUAUCAUGUGGAUUAUCCAUAGUAAUAGCAAAUCGAUGCAGAAUUUUAAUUGAAGGGACAAAUGAAGAACAACAAAGAGUGCUUCUAUAGUAUCUUCUUGGAUUCAAGCACGAGAGCUUUGGUCUCAAGAUGAAAAACCAGAAUAGUCCAAGUAAUUGAGGACUUUCAACCUGAAUAUAUGGAAUCAGCUUUAAUGUGUACUGUAUGUGGCCAGUCUGGACACCACAACUUCAGACUUAGAGUGGAAUCCUGAAAACAUUACUCAUUUGCUGGAGCAACAAGAGAUGUCAUCUAUGAAUGAAGUUUCUGGAGUUUGUUGGAACCAAGCUC